GCAAAGCAAUUUUCAUUUCUUCCACCAACGUCAUAAAUCCACCCACCAAGUUAUGAUUCAAUACUGCGAUCUGGGGAGCCCAUGAUUCUCCAUGAGUCCCCUGUCCAUUUUAUGAUCCAAGAAACCAUUAGGGAGCAAUGAGUUCAAAUCUGGGUCCGUCUCACUGGGUUGAGAUGGCUAAGCUUCGGUCAAUAGAAGGUGGAUUUCGCACUACCCACAAGAACUUUUGGCCACUUGCUAUUUCUCUUAAUUGUUCCAUUUGAGAACCUCCCCAAGCUCCAGGAACACAGAAGGACAAGUAGACAACACUUUAACUCGGUUGCGACUCGAACCAGGUUAAACGGACUCGAACCAGGUUGAGAUGGCUAACCAGGUCGAUAUAGUAAAGAGAUGUGGAACAACUUGGUAUGCAGAAUCCAUCUG
rnacentral:misc_RNA from 1 species